rnacentral:lncRNA from 1 species
GGGAGAAAAGGCGAUUCAGAUAAAAGCGAUAUUUCCUUGCAGAAAGAGCAAUAUGCACAAAAGUGGAGGAGGGGAAAUAUGAUAUAUUGAAAAAUAGUUUAUCUGGUUGGUGUAUGGAAGGAAGUGGCAGGAGAUGAGGUUAGCAUUAGAUCUUCAAGGUCUUUGCAUGUCACCCAAAGGAAUUUGGACUUUAACCAGUGGGCUAGGAAGCCACUGAAAUAUUUUAAGCCAGGAAGUGAUGCAACAUGAUCAUAGUUUUAUUUUGGAGUAACAAAUCUGUCAGUAGUGUGAAGAAUUAACUGAAGUCCAGAGGAGUGUCUGAGGUCAAGACUACCAGCUGGGUAACUUGAAAUAAUCCAUAUGAGUAAGAAGAGAUGAACUAGUGUCAUGACAAUAAAGAGAAACAUACUGGGGAAUUAUUGAGACGGUAGAGGCACACAUUUGGAUGAGUGGGAAAACUGACAGUCAUCAAGGAUAACUUCUUGGCUUGUGGUUUGAGGAAUUUGAUCAAUGGUGAUAUCAUUACCCUGGAGAAACAAGUGUGAGACUAAAACCUCAUCUCAGAUUUAAUUUUAAAAAUGCAAUUUGUCAAAUAGAAGAGGUCCCCAAUGGACAAAAGACCUAAAGAAGACUUGGAUACCGACCACCCUGGGGACUUUGGAUGCAUCUUAGAGUCAACAGAACACUCGAGAGAGAGGGUAGAUCACUGCCAUUUUUAUACCAGGAUAUUAAGGUACCACCACCUCACUCGAUCCUUGGUGAUUGAAUACUUUCAUGAUCCAAAAGUUACUCAGAAGAGUUAUUCUCGGGAUUAAUUUUCCAUUCAUCCAGGAAGCUUUUUUUUUUAAUUAAUGGAAAUUUCUAAGUACCAUCUACAGCCUGAAGGUGAAUGUGAAUUUUUAUAUGAAUUUUGUAUGAAUUUCUUGGA